ensembl:lncRNA
AACAGAGUAUCUCUGGGGUGUCUAGCUUGAAGCCUACAGUCAUGCAGAUAUGCUCCAGACUUCCCUCAGAUGAGGAGCUAAAAGAAAUUAUUUAAAAGACUGUGAAUAAGUAUUGCUUUGAGAUGCCACACUGAAAUGCAGAGGAUGCAUCCAGCCACCAAGACACAGCUGUUCCCAGAUACGUCCGGACAACGCAUGCAUGGUGCGUUUACCUACCGAGCAGAGCCUAAUGCUCAGCCAUACGCAGGUGAUUAUGGCAUCAGCAUUUCCCUGGGGACCCCUGGGCUUAAACAAAGAGACCACAUCUCUUCUACAAAUGUGUUUGCAUUUCUAAAAGCGCCAAAUUAUAGAUGGGCUUAAUGGGUUGAAGGUGCUUAAAGCAGGGCCAGUGCACUUCACGUGCAAUAUACCAUCAUUUGAAAAGCUAUCACGUUGUGGAAACAUCAUUCAAGUGCUAAUUUAAAUAAUACCAACAUCUAAAAUGAAGGCAUGCUCUGACAUUUAUAGGUUUAAUGUCUAUUUCUGCGCUCUACCAAAAUAGAUGAGUUGUGGGUGGAUCUAUGAUUAUUGCUGUGCAUUAGCAAGGCAGAAAUUGCGUAGGCAGCUGGUAUUAUGCCUGGGUAAAUAUAGAUGGCGGAGAAUCUACAGAGUAAUUUCUCGAUGUCAUAUAUUUACUUAAGAAACCAUUAGAAAGUAUUAUAUUCAGCAGUGCUUAAGGCUUUGGAGAAUAGGAGAAGGUCUUAAGACCUCGAUGGCUGCACACAUCUCCUUCCUGUACGGUCUGCAGCCCUGCUGGCAGUAACUUUGUGCUGCCCUUUGGCCACUGAACAGUCACAGGGCCGUUGGUGCUGGAUGCACUGCCAACCUGUGAUCACAGCUGAAAUUUGUGGUACUCAUGUCUUCUGCCAUUGCAGUAAUCUGGAAAACCUGAGAGAGCUUUGGUGGGCUCGAACAAAUAUUCAUUGCUGACUCUUAGUAUUGCUGUUGUGGAAGGAGCAAAGGUACCAGUCUUUUUGGAAGAAUGUCAAUCUUUCCAAAUAGAACAGCAAAGGGAAGAGAGGUAUGCUGAACCACUGAACUGCUCACAGUGACUGUAUUGCUUUUAUAAUAAUAUGUGCUUGUGCGUAAUAAAUCAGUGAGGUGGUACUUCUAACAGUUUUCUAAUAAAGACCAAUAAGUACAGUUCUUGACUGAAAAGAAUAAUAAAAAAUCUUUUUCUCUU